rnacentral:rRNA from 1 species
UACGUAGGGGGCAAGCGUUUAUCCGGAUUUACUGGGCGUAAAGCGCGUUAAGGCGGCCGGCUAAGUUGGUGGUGAAAUUCCAGGGCUCAACCCUGGAACUGCCUCCAAUACUGGUCGGCUCGAGUGCGAGAGAGGAAGGUGGAAUUCCCGGUGUAGCAGUGAAAUGCGUAGAGAUCGGGAGGAACAUCUGUGGCGAAGGCGACUACCUGGACCAGCACUGACACUGAGGCACGAAAGCGUGGGGAGCAAACAGGG